UCUAUAAUUUAACAUGAGUCAGUAAGACGUCAAAGGUUCGAUAAAACCAAAGGGGUAUUGUUAGUAUAUAAAGUAAAACCGGCCGGUGUCUGCAUCAGUACAACGCGAGCGCGAGUCGAACGUGCGUGCAACAAAAUUGUGAUUUUAACGUAUUAAAUAAUAAUGGCUGACAGUAACGCUAUUGUGUUUCCUGAUGAGGUUGAAGCGGCGAAGGAAGCCGCUAAAGCCGAAGUAAAAGUAGAAAACGGAGACAGCAACACCGUUGAGGAGGCUCCUGCGGAACCCGCGCAGCCGCUACCGGAAGUGGCACUACGGAAUAUGAUCGUAGUGCCACCAAACUGCCCGCCAGGACAACAAAUGGGCUCAGAUGGAGUGUGCCGAGUAGUCUUUAAUUAAUUCUUACUUUUAAAACCAUAAUUUAUAUCCCAGUCUUUAAUGUAUGCUUUUAAUUUUAAACGUUGUGUGAGUGUGGUCAUUGUGUGAGUUAUACAAACAGUAUUAUAGUGUACUAAUUGGUUUCUUUUGACAUUUAUUGUGUUGUAUGGAAAUAUACUAUUAUUGAUGUAAAA